rnacentral:rRNA from 1 species
UACGGAAGGCAGCGGUGGGGAAUAUUGCACAAUGGGCGCAAGCCUGAUGCAGCCAUGCCGCGUGUAUGAAAAAGGCCUUCGGGUUGUAAAGUACUUUCAGUCGUGAGGAAGGUGUUAAGGUUAAUAACCUUAGCAAUUGACGUUAGCGACAGAAGAAGCACCGGCUAACUCCGUGCCAGCAGCCGCGGUAAUACGGAGGGUGCGAGCGUUAAUCGGAAUUACUGGGCGUAAAGGGCACGCAGGCGGUUAAUUAAGUUGGAUGUGAAAUCCCCGGGCUUAACCUGGGAAUGGCAUUCAAGACUGGUUAGCUAGAGUCUUGGUAGAGGGGGUAGAAUUCCAUGUGUAGCGGUGAAAUGCGUAGAGAUGUGGAGGAAUACCGGUGGCGAAGGCGGCCCCUGGACAAAGACUGACGCUCAUGUGCGAAAGCGUGGGGAGCAAACAGGGAUUAGAUACC